AUGAUAUUUUAAGCAACAUAUAAAAUACUUGACUCAUGCUAGGCACUGUCCUAAGAAACUAUUUCCGCAAUGUGAAAUAUUUUUUCAGAAUUAAAUAACCACUUCCCUGAUUAAUUUUAGAGGGUAUUCGAAGUUAAGUCAGCCUUUCCUAAUUAAUCAGAGAAUACAGGAAUCAGCAAAAUUAAUUAUAAACCAACAAGUUAAAUGUAAAAUCAAAAAAUGAUUGGAUACAAUAGAAUUAAGGUAAGGAACUUUAGGGAAUGAUAAGAGUAAUGAAAAGAGAC
rnacentral:lncRNA from 1 species